UGCUUCAGUGCUCUGAGAGUGUUUAUAGUGCUGUGAGUUUAACACUUCAUGACUGAGAGCAGAACAGAACACAAUCUUCAUCAUCACACAAGACAAAAGAACAACAAUGAACACAAUCACCUUCUUCAUCUGGACUCUCACACUGUUUGCUCAAGAGUGUAGAGGACAGUACACUGUAACUCAGAGUCCAUCAAUAACAGCAGUUCAACCAGGACAAGAAGUCAGAAUAAACUGUAAAACCAGCAGUGCAGUGUAUAAUGGUAACUACUUAUACUGGUACUUACAGAAACCUGGAGAAGCUCCUAAACUCCUCAUAUAUUAUGCAACAAGCCGUUAUACUGGAACUCCAUCUAGAUUCAGUGGCAGUGGAUCUGGCAGUGAUUUCACUCUGACCAUCAGUGGAGUCCAGACUGAAGAUACAGGAGAUUAUUACUGUCAGAGUUACCACAAUGAUCCAGUGUUGACUUUCGGUGGAGGAACUAAACUGGUGCUCGCUGGUCCCACAGUGAAGCCCUCAGUGUCUCUGCUGCCGCCCUCUUCUCUGCAGAUCUCUGGAGACUCAGCCGCACUGCUCUGCCUGCUCAGCUCUUACUCUCCACAGGGGGCGCUGGUGAGCUGGACACUGGACGGGUCAGAGGUCACCGAGGGGGUCGUGACCAGCGCAGAGAGCCAGCGGGACGGCCGCUACAGCCGCAGUAGCGUCCUGACCCUCAGCAAAGCACGCUGGGAAAAGGGAGAGGUGUACGUCUGCAGAGUAACACAUGAUGGAGCUCCUCAUGAGGUCUCGUUCCACAAGAGCUCUGAGUGCUGAUGUUUCUCUCCUGAAGAUGAGCCGUAUCUGAGUGUCCUGUGUCAGGCAGGAUUCACAUGAGUCUAGUGCUGCAGCUGUAGUGAUUUACAACUCAAUACUGAAAGAGAGCUGGCGUGUCAAAGCACUGUGUGAUCUUUCAAUCUGCUGUAACAUUCAAUAAAGCUUCUCAACAAGUUCA